rnacentral:lncRNA from 1 species
UUGAAGAGAAAGUUGAGCAUAUUUACGGCAAGUCAAAAAGAAAAAAAGUAAAAAACGAAUAAAACGCCGCGUUUUGUUAAACUGAGGCGAACCGACAAAAAGUUUUCCUGUUCAGAGAAGGAUCAAAUUUUUAAAUCGUAAAUCCCUCAAUUUCCUCUUUAGAGGGGAAUUUAGGCUUCCGAAUUCCGAAUUCCGAACCGAACAAGGAAUCAAGCGUCUAUAAAUCAAGCCGAACUGAAGCAAUGAACCACAAAUUACUUCUCAGAAGCUCUUGUACUCUUGCUUUUCUACUCAAAUCGAAUCAUUAAUCCUCUACUUUCAUCGACAACAGAGAAAUAAUCGAACCGAUCCAACAUGAAUUCAGGCAACAAUGGAAAUCCAUCUCUGUGCGCAGCGGGUUGCGGNNNNNNNNNNNNNNNNNNNNNNNNNNNNNNNNNNNNNNNNNNNNNNNNNNNNNNNNNNNNNNNNNNNNNNNNNNNNNNNNNNNNNNNNNNNNNNNNNNNNNNNNNNNNNNNNNNNNNNNNNNNNNNNNNNNNNNNNNNNNNNNNNNNNNNNNNNNNNNNNNNNNNNNNNNNNNNNNNNNNNNNNNNNNNNNNNNNNNNNNNNNNNNNNNNNNNNNNNNNNNNNNNNNNNNNNNNNNNNNNNNNNNNNNNNNNNGGUGCGGGGAGAUGUUCUGCGGAUCUCACCGCUACCCGGAAGAGCAUUCUUGCAACUUCGAUUACAAGACGGCGGGUCGCCAAAUAUGGGCAAGCACAAUCAACUUUGCACAGGUGAUAAAUUGCAUCACCGGAUUUGAAUUGAAUGUAGAACCAUUAGUUUAGUGAGAUGAGGUAUGUCAGUCCUGGGUUUUACAGUACCAUCAUCAUGUUCUUCAUCAUGAGUGUAUAUACAUAUAUAUACACACACAAAAUUCGAAUACCAUCAUGUUUGAUCCAUGACUUCUAGAAAGAAACUUGUUGAAGCUGUUUUUUGGGUUUUGAGGUAUACAGAUCGAGUUGUUUCACCAUAUUAUAAUGAAUCUCAUGAGUUUUCUUUUCUUUUCUCGUCAUAUCCGAUUUUUUUUAGUUUUUUAAAAAUACAGUUUUGAAUUCAUAAUCAUAUUAUAGUGUUGAAUAAUAAAUAAUAUGAAAUCAGUAACAUAACUUUACAUACAUAGUUUGAAUUUUUUAGUAUAUUGAUUUUAUAUUAUAACUUCAAGUGUUUAUAGAAACUCAAAAAGGAGUUAAACUGAGGUUUUUAAAUUUAAGCAACUUUAAAACAAGAAAGCAAGCACCUACUAACAAAUUAGUAACAAAUGCUAACAAAUGCAAAAUUUCUUCAACAUAACAAAAAUCUAAAUAGANNNNNNNNNNNNNNNNNNNNNNNNNNNNNNNNNNNNNNNNNNNNNNNNNNNNNNNNNNNNNNNNNNNNNNNNNNNNNNNNNNNNNNNNNNNNNNNNNNNNNNNNNNNNNNNNNNNNNNNNNNNNNNNNNNNNNNNNNNNNNNNNNNNNNNNNNNNNNNNNNNNNNNNNNNNNNNNNNNNNNNNNNNNNNNNNNNNNNNNNNNNNNNNNNNNNNNNNNNNNNNNNNNNNNNNNNNNNNNNNNNNNNNNNNNNNNNNNNNNNNNNNNNNNNNNNNNNNNNNNNNNNNNNNNNNNNNNNNNNNNNNNNNNNNNNNNNNNNNNNNNNNNNNNNNNNNNNNNNNNNNNNNNNNNNNNNNNNNNNNNNNNNNNNNNNNNNNNNNNNNNNNNNNNNNNNNNNNNNNNNNNNNNNNNNNNNNNNNNNNNNNNNNNNNNNNNNNCAGCUCCAAUCUAUAUAAGGCACAUGCAUCACACUUAUUGAUCUCAUACUCAUAAAGAUGCCAUUCAAAAUGGUUCAGUGGUUGUGGAUCCAUGUAGUACGAUCUCUUUAGUCCUCCAAAUUCAUUCAUGACUUGCUUUCUUGACUCAUGCCAACCACGACCACUGUAAUCAGGUAAUGACCUCUGCUUUCUGUUCCCACUUUCAAAUGCUCUUCGAGGCUUAUCAAAAAAAAGCCAUUCCCUAAUUGUUUCACCAUCAAGAACAGAAAGAUCAAAGAGCUCUGCAAUUGCACAAAAAAGUGUUAAGAUAUUAUUAAAGUGCCGUGUUCCUUUCCCAUCCAACCAAUGAAGGAAAGGAAAACAUUACUACUACAAGCCAAAAGGGUUAGACUUACCAGGAGCAUUCCAUGGUGACUUUGCAGUUGCGGCUCCUUCACAUUCUGGAAUACCAACAUCUUUCCCUUGGGCUUUUGCACUAAGAGCAGCAAAAAGGAGACCAUCCUUCAGACCGAUGCCUCCUGGACGCAGAACUGGACCCAUUCCAGGUGGUCCUUCAUUCAAUGCCAAUGCAGCAUGAAAGCUACUGCAAUAGUCCUGACACCAGUCCAACCCUUGAGCAGGCCUUGGGCAAUCCCAAAGUGCACAUUUAGGACCUAAGAAUGCAGAAGGUGGGGGGCAUAUGCUUGGCAGAUAACCAGAAACAUGAGGUAUGGCAUCCUCCCCACCAUAGACAGUACCAGUAAAACCAACAUAGAAAUUUUGCUCAAAGUCUUGAUGCAUGUCAAAAUGAUGAUAAUCCAACUGAUUAGUGCCUUCAAAAUUGUUAACCGGCAUGUUGUGCAUUCCAGAUGGAGAAUCUUUGCAAUUAUUAAGCAAUGGAAAGCCACGUUCUGGUUGCCCCUGGUUCACACUGUAUUCCUGAAACUUAUCAAUUACCAGAUCCACCAGUUAGUGCCCUUCUUUGAUAUGAUAAAACACCAAUAAAAUAGGAAAUUCUACAUCACAAUAAUAAAUAUUAAAAACAUAAGUGAGGCAUGCAUGCAAUUCACAAGGCCAAAAAAGCAGAAACAUAUUUCAAAUCAUGCAUGGAAAUGUAGAGUGGGAAGAAUAGAUAGAAUAAUCAGUAAUGACACUUUUUGAAUUCCAUGAUUCUCUUCCAUUGGUGGAUAAAGGAGAAAAUUGGUUCACAUCCUAUGCUCUCUCGGGCUAAAUAGAGGAGAACUCAUCCCAUUUUUUUUGAAAUAAAUAUAUAUAUAUUUUUAUCUCAAAAAAAAAUAUUCACAAGGCACCAAACAAGGGGGUACCACCCAUGUACAAUUGUUUACUCUCUAAAUAGAGGAGAACUCAUCCCAUGGAUGGCUGAAUUCAAGAAAUUAUACCCCUCCUCCCUUCUCUUUCCUCUCUUCCCACUGCCAGCUCUCAACAAACUAGCAUGACUACAAGCCAUUCUAAUCCCAUAAAUAUGAUAUAAAAGGCAUGACAAUUGUAGGUAACAAAUCAAACACAGUACUCUCCCUUCUCAAUAUCCAGAAGGAAGCUUGAAUUGAUUAUGCAGUAACAGAACUUGUAGAGCCUCAAUUCACAAACCUCAUAGUGAGUCUUCGAAAGAGAAACUAGUGGUGGAAGGACCACAAAAACAACUAUGCCUAGAAUUACCAUAAAACAGGUGCAUAUAAUUAAAUAAAAUAUAUAGAACAACAGGGAGAGGGCAGAAAAUCUCUGAAGCUUUAAAGGAACAUUAACUCUCUAUGCUUUGCAGGCUGAAAAAUGGAAUGGAACAUCUAGCACUCUCUGACAUGGGAAACAAUUAUUAGAUUUCUUCCAGCUGAUGGACAUAAACUCUUGCAGAUUAGUAAUGUACAAAAUAUUAUAGGUAUAGAAAAAUGAAGCACUCUUCUCCAAGGCCCUUGAAAAAAUUAGCCACCCUGUAAAUAAAAAGAAAUUAAAAAAACACUCAUCAGAAAAUAUAACUGCAAAUCAUAUCCAUGGAAUUUUAUAGCCAAGAGUCUCGUUGAUUUCACAUCCCAAACAGUACUAAGCUUUGCAACUGCUAACUUAUUAGAUUCUUAUUUUUUUAAUAAAACUAAUUUACUUUAAUUACCAUUUGAUGUCCUCUUAAAAACUAAUAAUAUACACAUAAAAUAAUGUUCCUUGCAAAUAUUUAUAGUAAAUAUAUUGUUUAUUAAUUUUUUAAUAAAAACAACAGUUUAUUUUUUUGCAACAUCAUAAAAUUAAAAAUGUGUAUAUAAAAUGGUGUACUACAUAAAAUAUUUCUAAUAAAUAAAUUUUUUAGUUUUAAAACUGCUUGUUUUUUGCAACGUCACUUUAGAUACGUAAUUGCUUAUGUUUUAGAUAACUCAAUUGCUUAAGUAACUUAAACUACCUUACUUUAAACAUAUUUCCUUUAACUAUAUUUCAAAUACACUCAAAACAAACUACCAUAAAGUUUUUAUUGAAAAAUAAAACAAAAAAAUUUCAACAUAAAACUGAGGCGUCCGACAGUGAUACUCUCCCUGGGAACAAAUAUGUCCAAGAUGUUACCAGUGGUUACUAAAUUAGUCACCUAAAAAAAGUAUUUGAAUGCAAGGAAACUAGAGGAUUGAAUCAUUCCUAUUUAGAUCUUUCUGUGUCUAACAAUGGCAUUAACUCCAGAUAGAUCUUUCUUUUACUUCGUUAAUGGAAAAUAAAUUUAGAUAAAAAUAUUUACAGCCACAAUUAUAUAGUCUAAAUUCUAUAAGAUUGAAAACUUGUCCAGAGGUUAGAAAAAAAAACCUUAGACCUAAAUGAUUUUUUUCAAUACAAAGGGUUAAAGCCUCAGAAAGCUCCAUAAAACACUAUCCAAAGCAUUUGACCCAUAAAUGCUGCUGCCACAAAGACUAAAUUGUCAACCAUUAACUGAGCAAGUUACGACAGCAAAACCACAUAAACAGCACAUCUAGAAGAACUCUCACAGCUAACUUCAAAACAGCCAGUGCCAGAUCACACAUCUCCCAAAACCAAAGGGGAUGAAUUGUUGAGGGCAAAGAAUUAAACCAUGGAACAAAAGCACAACCAAGUGGUACAUGAAAAAAAACAUAAAGAUGAGAAAGUGGAUAAUAAUCAAGGCCAAACUUGUAGGGCUGCCACUUUCUUGACACAAGAAAAAAAAACACAUACAUUGAAAAAUUUGUUUGUAUAGCCUUGUCAACCUCCCAAUUCAAAGAGCUGAAAGGACAUGAUCUUUCACGGGUUUCAGGAGGUUUAAAAGAAACGGCCAAAACCUUGAUUUAUCCUUAUUGGAGGAUUACAUGUAUGUUACGAAAUAUAGAUAAAUAUAAAUAUUAAUAGUCCUCUUCCUUUUUUGGUACAGAAAUUAAAUUCUCACUCACUCUAUCUUGUUAUUAUACUUUAGAAAGCCCCAACCAAAACAAAGGGUAAAUUUGUCAGUGAAUUCUCAACUAAUAAAUCUAGAUAAGGUCAUCAAUAGGACAUCAAUGCAUUAUUACUAUACCUAACAAGUACAUAAUAGGCACGCCAAUUAAACAAAUAGAUAAAUAUAGUAUGUAGUUUUCUGGUGUUUAUGCAGUGAGCAUGAAAUAGACUCUGAAGCCAAUUAGCUUAAGGCACACAAUCUUCUUGAUGCCUGCUUCUUGAGUCCAAUUAAUGUGUCACGUCCGACAAAAGGAAACUAAUGUUGCCAAAAAUAAUCAUAAUCAAAAUAUAUAAUCAAUAAAGAAUUAGUUGAAGAACCAAAAACAAAAUACCCACCCCUUGGAAUACAGUAUUAUGUCCAACUUGCAGGUUUUGAUCAUUAGGCUCAACCUUCGGUGCAGCUAAUCCACUUGUUGCAUCAUCUUCCUCCUCACAAAGCUGCAGCAGCCGACAAAUGUCUGACGAGAAUGAGCCAAGAGGACCACCCUGUUAAUCGCCCAUUGAAAAUCACCCCUUUUAGUAUCUUAUUAAUAUUAAUCAAUAUCAGAACUAUGGGUUUGUAUUUCUCAACUUCAUUGCAGAUACCCAUAUGGGCAUACACUCAAGAUAAAACAACCAAAAUAGCAGAGCAACACCUUAAGAUACUUCAGAUAGAUAUGUAAAACAAGCAACUUUUGACGAUUCCUUUACAAUUUGAAAUAUACAUGUUAACAAAAAUAAUCAAGUAUAUACCAGAAUUGUCACCCCUUUUCCUUUAUACACCACUCAGGGAAAUCACAUUUCAAAAAUUACUACAUACACAUACACGUACUCUCUGAUCCAUAAAAGAAAAUUGGUAAUCACCCCUUUUCUUUUAUAUACCACUCAAGAAAAUCACAUUCAAAAAUUGCAACUAGGAGGUACAUACACAAGCACGUAUAGAGAUUCAUAAAAGAAAGCCACACUACUUGUUGCAAAGAAGACGCAGGAGAUGGCUCAUUAAGCUCUGCUUUCCAUUCCCGGAGCAUCUGAUGAACUUGCUCCUCAAGGACUGCAACAUCAAUUGAACGGCUUUCCUUCCUUGCGAACUGCAGAUCCAAGAACAUUCCCUGCAGAUCAUCAACUCGGUUCUUUGCCUUGUCCUUGAAGAGUUUGUGGGAUGCAGACUUGCAGUUAGUCUUCGAACCCUUCCCCAUUACAAACUUCCUCCUGCUCUCAACCACGAUUCUGCAGUCAAAAAUCAAACCCAUUAAAAACGAACAGUUAGAAUCGCAAUAACAUAAACUAUAUUACCCAACUGGUAGGAGCCCUAAAAGCGAAUAAAAACCCUAAAUUUAGGUCAAAUAAACCGACAUUGACAAACAAAAGUAGAGAUAGACUAGGGCAAGUCGGUACUUUCAAUUUAGUAAACCCAUGAUAAUCAAACCAAAAUCCAACGAUACAAGAUUCACAAAAACUCCAUUUGUUUCAGAAUCAAAUCUAACAGACAAUCAAAUGAAAACCAAUCCCAGGUCGCCUUUACCACAAUCAUAUACAUACAUAUAUAAACUCCAUCUCUCCCUCUCCCUCUCUCUCUCUCCAACUUUUUUAGGUACUCUGUCUGACCCAGUAGUCCAAUAUAGCUUAAAAGACGAAAUCAAGCAACCAACAACGUCAGAUCAGAGAAGGAACCAAAUACUAGAGCCAUAAAAAACACACAAAUUACUCAAUAAUCCAAGGUAAAACUAGUGAUCUUAAUACCCCUAUGAGAAGAUGAAUCGUAAACUCACUGGUAUAUUACUGUCUAUCCCGAGCUGCGAAAGAAAGGAUAGCGGAGAGUGAGGGAUAAAGUGAUAGGAGAUUGCGAUAAAUAAAGGAAAAGUAAAUAUUCCAUACACCAAACAAACACACUGUUUAUCACCAACAAGAAAACAAAAGAGAUGCUCUUUACCCAAAAAAAAAAAAAAGAAAUUGUUGAAGGUAGAGGAGAGAGAGUCACAGAAAGACGAGAGAGAAGGAAAUGGGUUUGUGCUUUUUCAAGUUUAUGCUUCCCAUUCAACUCUCUCUCUCUCUCGCGCGAGCGUCUAUCCCGAAAGUACUGCGGCAAAUCUACUUAAUACUAUUAUUAUUAUUUUGAUGAUAAAAUGCCAUUUUUAACUUUUGAGAUAACAUAGUAAAUCAAAUAAUAAUAAAAAAUUAAAUAAUAAAUUAUAAUAAGUACCUAGAAUAAGUUGAAGAUUCGAUCAAUAAUAAAUUAUGAAACAAAUUUUAAUUUUGAAUAUAAAUUAAAAUUAUUUUCAUGAAUUUAAAAAUUAUAUACUUGUUUCUUUAACAAAUUUUUUUAUAACUCAAUUUAAUUAAUUAAUGUUGGCAAAAUAGAUGACAUAUUAUAUAAAAAACACAUGACAAAGAGAUGUUUAGCAACAAGUUUAUUGAGUACGAAAUUUUCUUAACAAUAACCAACCAAAAAAUAUAUUUUUUUAAUGUUUACUCAUAAAACCAUAACUCUUAAACAUUUUUUAUUUUCUCUGUUUUUACUUAAAUUUUAUCAAACUUGAAGUAGCACUCGUCAAACAUAACCUUAUUAAAGUCUACAUAAAGAUUAAGGCAAGCAGUAACAAUAAAGAUGACAUUUUACAUUUAAACUCGUUUGAAUAUGAUCCGAUACUAUUUUAUUCGUCAAAGUAAGAACUUAGGUCGAAUUGGGUAUGGGCUAUGUUAGGUAUAGGUUGGUGAAAAAAGAGGAGAGACCGAACAUUUUUGAACUUAACAUGCUAUGUAUGUAUAUAUACAUUUUAAAUUAUUAUUAUUAUUAUAAAUAUAAAUAUAUUAUAUUAAUAUAAUAAAAUAAUUAAUGAGAUUCGAGUUAAAUAACUUGUAAACCUGACAUAAUCUAAAAAAAUGAUUCAAACAUGCUUCGUAUUUGUGAAGAAUUUGAGUUUGUUCUUUGUAGGGGCAAGUUGGAUCGAAUUUUGGUAAAUUUUGUCUUGAACUUGCCUCGUUCGUUGCCAUUCCUAACUAAUAAGCUCCCUUAGUCUCUAAACUCAUGAUAAUCAACUUUGGUUGUUCCUUGUCAUUUUAAGAAUAUCAAUUGGCAUCGUAUAUGAGAAGUAAGGAAUGACGAUGAUGAUUUAAAGAAGCACAUGUACGUCAUAAAUAUAAAUUUUUUAAAGUAUAAGGGUGAAUAAUUUACCUUAUCAUUACUUCAUUCUCCUAAAUGAUCUUGCUCAAUUAAUGUAAGAAAGAAAUAGAAACAUCAAUUUCUUAAAACGCCAACUAACAAUAGGUAACUACAAUCCCUCAUUGUGCAACAUAAGGUAGAUUUGGAAGAGAUACCUCCAAGUGUGAAACACGUUAACCAAAAUCAAACAAAUGGUAGCAAAAACUCUAACCUUAUAGUAGGAGAAAUAUACAUAAAGCCAAAUUUUAUAAUAUUUAAGGGACAUCAGGAAUAAGGUCAAAGAAGUAGAUGACAAGUUAGCCUACAAUGACCCGAAACUUAAAAGAAAAUAAAAUCAUAAAUUGAAUGCAGAAGCGAACUAAUAAAGUUAGAGUUUAUAUUUCUUACAUAAUAAUUUAGAAUACUCAAUAGGGUUACGAGACUAAAAGAAUAAUGAAAAAUCAAAAAAAUAAAUGCAAAGUAAACAACUGGGCAUCCUAUUCGCAAUCCUUUUGUGGAUCGGAAUCUGGAUCUUGAUUCUCUUGAUCUGAAAUAUUUAAUGAAAGAGUGAGCUACACUAGUCCAGUAAGAAUAUUACAUUACUCACCGAUACAGAAAUGAAGAUUGAUAAAAAUCAUAAAAAUAACUAAUGAAACUCUUAAUUUAAGUAAAUUUAUGUAUUAUAAAUAAAAUUAUUUAUUGCAUACUUACCGUAGCGAGAUUUUCAAAAAUCGACCUAUAAAGGCAAUAACACAAAAAUAUUAUAAUCUCAUAUUCAAUUAGUCAGAACAAUAACUUAUUCCUUUUUAUUUGCUUACUAGUAUCCUUGGGGGUUCAUAGGGAUGUCCCAUUAUGCGUGAACCCAUAAUAAAACUUGUCAACUAACUGGCCGUUCCCAUACCCCAUUCGGUAUGAGCACCAAAAAUAUCAUCGCUCAAUACUCGUCCAGUAUGAGGGUGAAUUAGGCCGUCCCUAUGUCCUGUUCGGUAUGAACGCCAAAAAUAUCUUUUCUCGAUACCCCUGUCCGGUAUGAGGUAACAUUCACGGUAUGAUUCGCUAUGUACUCGUCUGUCUACCAUUUUUCAGGAUAUCCAGUAAGACAAUCGUUUCAUUCAUUCACUUGACCAAGUAAUUUUUCAUUUACAUUUAAUUUUCAGUUUCACAAUUCAACUGUAAAUCACGCAAGACAAGUAAUACAUGCAUCAAGGAAACACAACUAAAUCAUCUUACUAAUUCCAGUGUAUUAUCAUGCAUUUAAAACUGUAAAAUCAAACAAUCAGUUAAAACAUGACAAACAGUGAUAAAUAACCGGUUUCGGCUUCAUUAGUAACAUGUAAUUAAUUAUCGAAGUUUUCUAAAUUAUGCAAAAUACUUUAUAAUUUAUAAUUAGACUUCAAUUCCAUAACAGAGAAUAAAGUGAGGAUUCUUACCCGAAUCGGUAUCCGAAAUACUAAACUUUCAGCUGCGCCUACUAAUGGUCCCUAAGUUCCCUGAAUUUUUUUUUUAGAUUAAAAUACGGUUCAAGUACUUAGAAAUACCCCAAAAAUCCAAAAUCGAUGUUAAAAACAUUUUUGGGCCAAUUUUGAAAUUUCGGCACGGUGACACCACCGUGUUUCGACGACGACGCCGCCAUUCGCGGCGCUCAGACUGGCUAUUUUCGGUCAGUUUUGGCUGAUUUUGGCCGGUUUUAUACUCAUCCCUGCGAGAUAACACGUUAAGGGGCAUCGUUUGGCCAAAAAAGUCGAAAAACAAAGACUUCCGACAAUGAAAUUUUUCAGUGCAGCGGCUCUGCUGGCUCACAUUUACGGUUGGACGUUUUUUUUGGUCAACUUGUAAAAAACAGAAUAGUGAAUACAAUUGUGAAAAAAUCGCACGAAACGAAAAUCAAGAAGAGGCUCAUCGGGGGCAGUUUUUGGUUUUUCCUGCGACACCUGCAGUUUUCAACUCAUCCACCAGUCCUUUUGCUUCGAUUUGGCCAUGGGGGUGUUCAAAAUUAAAUUUUGAGUGAAUGAAUUUUUUUAUACCUUUUUUGACGGUGGGAGGUGGCUCCGGCGUGGUGGCGGGUGGCAAUUGGUUCUCUUCUCCGACGAUUAGUUCUUCUUCUUUGGCGGGUUGCUGGCGGCUAGGGAUAGGGUUCGGUAUGAAGUGGGAUAUUUAUACCCGUCUCUCUUUAAUCUGGACCGUUCAUUGCGUUUGAUCUCGACCAUCUGAUCGUGUUUAAAGAGAAAAUAAAUCUGAACCGUUUAUCGCGAUUUGAUCUGGACUGUACGAUCGCGUUUAAAGAGAGAACAAAUCUGAACCGUUCAUUGCGUUAAUCGUGACCGUCCGAUCGCACUUGAGGAGAGAACGGAUUCGGACCGUCCACGUGCAUAAGAAGAAAUCUGGAUCGUCCAAUCGCGGACACAAGAAUUACCAGUGUGGCUUCUCGCAUGACACCGAGUCAGCGUAUCUUACCACGCAACGCGCUCCGGUUUGUCGGGGUUGCUGAUUGGAUGUUCCUACGUGACAAAUUUUUUUAAAUUGCAUUUUGACCCCCAAUUUCUAAUUUUUCUUUCAAAAAUAUCUCCGAACUUAAAUUUUCACACAUUUUUUUCAAAAUUAUUUUCAAUUUCAUCAUCCACCUAUUUUUUUCUAAUUUUUAUAUUAAAUAAAAAUUUAUAAGUAUAAAAAUUAUAUUUAUAUAUAUUUAUUUUUAUUUUAUUUAUUUUAAGAUUAAUUCCGGGCCAAAAUUCGGACCCAAUUAUUACAUAGCCAACCUUAAAAAAAUUGUCAGCACUAAUGAAACAACUGGUGACGAAGACUUGUUUGGAGAAGCUUAAAAUAAAAUUGUUAAAGGAUGAGUUAUAGGACCACAAAGUGAUGGGUCUUUUUUUCCAUAUAUAGUUGUAUGGAAGAUCAUUGCUUCAUCUAAGAUUAAACUGUCUUAACUAGAAUAGUACGAUGGAAUAAAAGAUCUUGUGGAUCAUCUCAACUAUUACAAAGUUGUUUAUGUGGACGAUAAAUGCCAUGUUGUGAAGAAAAUUCUUUCUUAAGUUAAAAAAAGGGUUGAUGAAUGGUUUUAAGCAUCAAGUCAUGAAUUGUGCAUGGCUGUAAGGACCUUGCAGAUAAAUUCUUAGCACAUUUCAUUAACAAUCAAAUAUCUAAGAUAAAGGUGUAUCAUUAUGCUUUAUUAUUUUAGGCUAUAUCAUUACACUUUAUUUAAAACUUUUAACUUUGGCUAACUUAGAUAAAGGUGUGCCAUAGUAGUAAUUAGCAAUAGAAAAUCAUGAAAUUACCAUUUAUUUAAUUAGAACCUUUAAAGAAUCUAGUGGAACUCUUCUCUUAAGCAUAAAAAUAGAUAAAGAUAGAGGAAACUGUGGUUCUUAUGGUGAUGGAAGCAUAAGAGACUCCAAUAAAAGACACCGCGAUGAAUACACUUUGGAUUCGCAUAACAUCUUAAACAACAUCGAGUGAAUAAAUCUGUUUAUGAAAUCUUGAGCUUCUUUGGGCAAGGAGAGCUAGUAUAAUACACUAUAGUUAGGAGCGAUAACGAAUCAAAUGCAUUUAUAAAUUGUUUAAAUCCAGUUCCACAAAAAUUUGUACAAAUUUCCUUAGUAUUGAAUUUGAGCCUAAGAAUUGCAUUUAAUUAAUGAGCCGAACUUGAAAGUUUUUGAUUUGAAAACUUAUGAAUAUAGUUGUUUAUCCAUUUAUUUUCUGUUACGCAUAUAUUUAGUAAAUUUUGUGUUUUAUAUAUUGAAAUGUUUAUACUAACUCAUGCUAAUUUCAGCUCAAAUUCGAGCUAAUUUCAGCUUAAUUCUAGAUUUAGUUUUUUUCAAAUUGAUCUUGAAUUAUAUAUAUAUUAAAAGGAAUCAUACUUUAGUAUCAAAAAUAGUUAGAACCUAGAUUCGAACCAAAUAGAGUCUUACAGUAUUCGAAAUAAUCAAACUCAUAUAUCUAAGCAUUUAGCUUGUCUCGAUUUAUUGGCACCCCUUACUCUUGUAAAUGCAUAACGAUCUUAUAUGUCUAUAAAGAUUCAAGGUGACAAACUCCUUAAAUGGUAAGAUCUUGAGAUAAAACAAUAACAUAUUAAUUAGAUCAAUAAAGUUUCACUUUCAUAAAGUCUUAAGCUACAACAUUAGUAAAUGUAGGAAGUUUAAGGGAAAGAUCGAAAACAUUAUCCAUAAGGGCUAUUGCAAAGGUAAUGUGAAAAAUAAUAAAAGGAAGCAUGUAAUUUGUAAACGAGGCCAUGAAAGUCAACUCAAGCCCGACCCUCUUGAUCAAUUAGCAAAAUCAUUCAUUGCAUGAAAACCACCAAUAAAAUAACUCCAUAAUGACGUUGAGUAAAGAAUAUAUGUUUAACUUCAGAAAGUAGCAUUAACAAUAUUUAGUUUCUACCUGUCAGUUACGUACAAAUUUUAUUAUCUUUUUUUUGUGCGAAAAUAAAUAUUUUUUUUUGCAAUUAUGUCUAUUGGUGAUGAUGUCAUCUUAGCCUGGAGUCUUAUCUAACCAAAUACUAGAAUCUACCUCAAUUAUAAAUGCUCAUUCAUAUGGUCUUUUAACAUUCUUUACGACACACAAUAAGAUCUUUUUCUCGUAUAAAAAAUUGGAUGAAGUUAAAAUAUAUUUAGGAUAAUAAUAAAAUAUCUUAAUGAAUAGCUCUACGGAAUCAAUAACCAAGUUGAUAUGUAUAGUUUUUGGACAUGAAAAUAAUUUAAAAAUUACAACAAAAAUAUGAAAAAUUUAAAUUAGUAAAUAUUUUAAUAUAAAUAUAAUUAUAUUAUUUCUAAGUUUAAUUUUUAUUUUUAAUAAUUGUACUUAUUUUUACAUACAAACUUAAAUUCAGAUAAUAAAAAUUCAAUAUUUGUUACAAAUAAUCAUGAUCUAAAAAUUUAAAACAAAAAUUAAAAGGAAAUCCAUGGAAUUGACUGAAAGAAUAAUUAUAGGUGCAUGCAUGUAAAAAGUUAAACAAAGAACAUUGUAGCUUCUUUUAGAAAAAUCAUAACGACAUUUUAACUUUAGAAUUAGGUUGCAUCUUAAAAAAUUAUCGAUCAGAUUACAAUUACAAACUUCAAAGGUGCUGUAUAAUUGAAUGAUAGUUUAUGUAACAAUAAGCCAUAAUUUAUAUAAUUAAAUAAAUUUUAUUUACAUUUUUAAUCAUAUAAUUACGCUAACAAGGAGUAUAUAUAUAUGUAUAUGGCUUAGGAGAAAAGUGUCCCGACAAACUCACAUGUAGCUCUUCUGCAGCAUGAAGCAGAUCCAAACAUUUAGCUUGAAGUAGAAAAUUUAAAACAGUAAAAUGGGAAUUCCAAACAGAUCAGAGAAAAGAUUUGCAGCAAUAUGGGCAACCUUUCUUUGUUUAUUUUCAAAAAAAUUAUUCUCAAACAUUCCAAGAUUCUGAAAUUUUACAAUCACAAAACCCUAAAUUGUGUCGUUGAGAAGACAGUGAAGCUGGAGGUUGAAGAUGAAGUGGUGUUGUUGAUGGUGACGAUGAUUCUUGGCGGGACGGUAUUUACAACAGUGAAUCUAGAGAUUGAAGAUGAUAAUGAUCAGAUGAUGAACAUUAAAAUCUUAUUCUGUUAAUCAAUACGAAAUAAAAUGAUAAUUAAUAAAAUUAAUCGACACGAAAUAAAAUAAAAUAAUAUAACUUAACUUAAAUGAAAAGAAAAAUGACAAAAAGUAACACAAAAUAAAACCGGUCCAAAAAGAAUAACAUAAUAAAAAAAACAUUACAAUUCGAUAUAAAAUAAAAUAAUGCGAUAAAAUGAUAAAUUAUGAAAUAAAAUGACAAAAAAAAAAAAAAAAAACAUAAUAGAAAAAACGUAGAAGAAGAUGUUGAAUUCACCAACUAGGCUAAUAGGUUUUGAAAUGGUAGGCAUUAUAUAUUUAUCAAUAAAUAAAAUUCCAAUUUUUUUACUUCCCAAAUAAAAUUACGAAAGAGAGAAAAGAGAAAGUAUAAAGAGAAAUUCCACUAAGAUGGACCAGAUUCCUAUCCUUUCUAUAUUGGACUUGAGGAAUAAAAGGCAGAGGUGUGUUCAUCAAGAGAAUGAUAUGAUCUCUAUACACAUCAAUCACCAUCUUUCAUUUGAAAUUUACCCUCGCAACUAACUAUCCAUCCCCCCAUUUCAUGCCAUCAUAUCAUCAUCAUCAUCAUCAUAUCACCAUCAUCACCACCACCAUCAUCAUCACCACCACCAUCAUAGUUAUCAUUACUGUUACUCUGUAUUAAACCAAGUAGCUCCUAAGUAAUUUUGUAGAGAAAGUUUUGUACCUUCAACAAUUCUCUCUGAACUAGACUGAAGAACUCUGUGAAUUUGAUGUGCUUAAAGAAAAUUUAGAAAGAAUAAAUGAAUACCCUAAAUCUGAAACGAUAACCUUUUAUUAUACUCAUGUAAAUUUUUUUUUUUUUUUUAUUUACAGAAGAAAAUAUAAUUAAGAGAAAGAAAGAGAAAUACAAUUACAGAGAAUAAGACAUCCUCCAAAUAUUCAUAUAAACUUUUCAGUGCUAGCAAAACAACACACAUUCACAUCACACCAUAUCUGCAAUUGCAUUAAGCAUCAAAGCAUCAUCCAUAACCAGCCACUCUUCAGCUGAGUGGUUCCUUACUUCCCUCCACCUCGAGGGAGUAGGUUCCAGUGUGGCCUGCAGUUACAUGCCACUUUAAACGGCCUUCGAGCAAGAAAAAGAAAAAAAAAGAGCAUCAAAGAAGAAAACCGAUCAGAUCAGAAGAUACUUGCUAAGUUCAGAUCAGCAGAUGAUAAGACUGGAGUCCAAAUUAAUGAAGUAGGACUAAAUGGCAGCAGUAUAUAAGCAAACUGUUGACUAAAUAUUAAAUGUAAAUGAAUCUGAAAUCUACUUGUAAGGAGGUAAUCACCAGGACACCGACUAGAGGAGUUAUCCUUGAUCGAACAGAAGUAAUUAAAAAUGGGGUGUGAAAAACUUGUACCAAGCAGCUAAAGACAAUAAACAAAAUGAACAUUAGGAUCAGUUGAAAGCCUUACUAGUUGAAGAGAGAGAGGAGACAGAAAAGUGGGAAGAUCAUUUCUUAUGGAAAAUGUGUUUCAAUUUAAAUAAAUAUUUCCAGGUAAACCAUAAAGGCUUCAAAUGUUUCAUGUACAAAUGAUGCUAUGUGAUGAUUACCAUAAUUACUAUAACGAUUGAUUGUAUCUUCAAAAACAAAAUUUUGUAAAUCAAUCAUUACAUCCCAGAUUCAAUUUGAGAUGAAUUAAUGGAGCAGGUGAUACCAGACCUCUGCCCAAGUAACCAAGGGUUAAAGAAUGAAGGCAAGAAGCUUCCCUCAUAAAACAAGGGAUAUCUAACAAACCAUAAUGGGCAAAUAAAUAAUCAUCUUUCUGUAAAUCUCAAGUCGGAUCAAGUUGGCUUUGCUAACUUUGGAUCCUCCAUAUUAGCACUUGUAAAGUGUAAACUACAACUUAGUCCUUGUCCUCUUGCAAGCUGUGCCAGUUCUUCAAGUUUUUGCCUAAGAAGUUCCAGCUCUUUUGCUAAUUCCUCAUCUUUUUGCCUCAGCACCUGCAGGGGAAAGAUGACUUUAGGCCAACAAGUUGCAUGCUAAACAUGUAGAAGCAUCAACAGUAAAGCAAAAAUGGGGAUCGUAGACGAGAAAAUAAUCUUUUUAAUUUGGGAUCACACUUCAGAAGUAAGUUCAAAUGCCAAAGUUAUGGAAAUUACAUGUAAUUUAAAAAUAUCUAUAGCAUGCGUCAUCCAAAACCUUGACAGUGAUAAUCAGUUUACUGUGUGGAGGAAUCAGUCCCAACUAACUAUUUUCAGAUUAACUCUCAGUGAGAAAACUUUUGUUUCAAAACACUGAUGAAUUUUCUAUACAACAGCAGUCAAUAGACUCAUAAUGAUUCAAUGAUUUCUUAGAACCGGUAUUACGACCUAUACCACAAUGAUGCUGUCUAUUUCUUGAAGUACUCUAUUAAGCAUAGAAAGGCUUUGUAACAGUUAUUGCCUUUGGCCACUGUAACAUGACAAAAGUUUUGGAGUCAAAAGCUACAAAUGUUGUUGGAAAAUUAGUACGGUCAAGGUAUAAGAUUUGCAACUCUGUAAAAGGACAUUUGGACUUCUUUAAGAAAAGCUAUGAGCCUUGGUAUGGAAAAAAUUGACAUAACACGUCUAACAUAUUCCACUUAUGUUUUGUUCUAGAUCAGGAUGGCACUGAAGAAAAUUAAAACAUAAUUCGUGUGAAUACAACAGGAAAGUGAAUUCAUGAGCACUAAGAAACUGGAAGGAGCAUUCCUCAAGACAAAUGGCAUAAUGAAGAACUCUUAGUGGUAUGCGUACAAAAGGUAGUUUUUACUAUGUCUUCUAAAUGCAUUCCUAAUCUGGUGGUACCAAUAUUGCAAAUCUAACUUUGACUGAGUGCAACUCUUCCAAUUCUCACGAAUUAUUGGAAUAGGAACUUUGCCUUUUAACUAUUUUUAGAUUAAAGGCACGAUAGUCUAUAGAAAGGCUACAUGCCCUCUAACUUUCUAAUUAGCAAUUUUGGAGAGAAGGUAGACUGGCACAGUGAAGACUUGCCCUGGAGUCUUUGAAGCGACAAAAAAAUAAGGAUCUAAAAGACUUAGGCAUGCUCUUGAAAUUCUUUCAAAACUCAAGCUUUUAGGAAUCUAAACAGAAAAAUUGAAUGAUUAACCAAAAGUAUAGGUCCCAAAGGAUCGGCAAACCAACAAAAUAAACUGUAGGCUUCUAAGAAUCUGCAAGUUAUUAUAUAGAUAUUAAUUACAGCUAAUAAAUAAAUAUUAAAAUAAUUAAAAAAGAAAUCAAAAGCUUCUGUAACAUAAAACCAUCUAAAUAGCCUAAGAUUCUAACACUUAUAAUCUACCUAAAUUGGCUAAAUAAAACAAAGAUGCGAAAAGUAAUAAUAAUAAUACUCAAAGCUUCUUUAAUUUUUUUGAAAAAUAAACUAAAAGCUUCUUUAAUAAAAAGUUUAUUUCAAAGUAGGAUCCUCUUGUUCUGCAUUACACUGAAGGUUAUUUCUGAGAAAGAUAUCACCUAAUAAACCUAGGAUUUCAGUUUCACAGACUGGAUGAAAAAACAGCAUGCAAAGGUUGCCUUAAUGCAAUCUGCAGAGGGACAAUCUAGAAAAGAAUACUUCUACAUUACCUCUAGUUCUUGUUUACGUAUUUCCUCCUUCCUGGCUUCUGAUCUAGAACUUCUCUGUACCUCAAAGAUUACAGCAGCUCCUGCAACCUACUAGCAUGGAACAUUGUGUAUAAAUAUGCAGAAAGCAAAUCAAUUUAUAUGCAAUUUAAAUUGGUUCAUUGCCAACCUGUAGGCAGUGACCAAUUAUCUUACAGUGCCUUACCUUGCAAAGUUGGAGUAAUUGAUGGAUUAAUGACCAGCCAUGUUGCUUACCUGAAUGAGCAUUAUCCCCAGUAUUUACACAUAAUUCAAGCUAACCUUGAACACCAGAUCUUUAGUUCCAAUAGAAAUUGAGCUGUUCACAACUUCAAACUAUCCCCUUUAAGGAACUUCUCUAGACUACAUAAUGCUGGAAAGCAACCAUAUCUUGUCUUCAAUGAUGUUAAAAGAUGAAUAUUUUUGCUAUCCUCAUAAUAAUCUUGCAAGUUUUACAAAAAGCAAGGAAAUACCAAAUUAAAAUAUAUUACUUUUGGCUGUGGAAAAAAUGGCUAAAGAAAUUGGAGCAUGUCAUCAUAAUUUUAGAGUAAAUGAAGCAAGCUCAAGCACUGUUGUUUAAAAAUAAUGAAAAAAUUAGUGGUAAAUUGCAAAUUAGUCCUUGAAACGUGUUACAGUUGACUCCCAAAACUUUUUCUCCACUAAAAUUUGUUUCAAAAGCUUACAGAAUAUUUCAAAAUGUCAUUUUUUUUUAAUAAAGUUUUAACAGAACAACAGAAGCUCUUUCUGCCUUUGUUUGGGUGACACAAAAGAAAAAAACUUAAAAAUGUACUAAAUUUCUAUUGUGAAAAAAUUAUUUCUACAUGUCUUUUUCUUCUCUAUUUCUAUUAUUAUAACCUUGCAUUAUUUAAAUAUAAACAAAACUUGAUUUUCCUUAUUAAGUCUAUCAAGGUUACUUCUAAACUGCUAUAACUUUCAAACCAAAUGAAAAAUAAAAUGCAAGCAAGAUUGAAAUUUCUUUUCUAAAAAAUUCCAUAUUUCUAUAGAUAACAAAACCAUAUUUUGAAAUAACUCUUGUUAAUUUAAUGACCAAAUUCUAAUAAAAAAUUCUAAGAUUAUUGCAUUGUGGCCUAUAGUUCAAGGACAAACAGUAAUAUUUUCCAAAAAUUGAUGCACCAAUAACAUUCAUCUAGCUCAAACUAAAUUAACUGAUGAUGGAGCAUUGAAGACAUCCUCCCUCAUUAUUUUUCUUGAAUAAUAUGAGCAGAAAGCUCAAAGAAUAAGUGGAUAUAACGUUUCAUUUCAGUUCAUGAAAUUUUCUUUUCUAAAUCAUUUUUUUAAAUAAACUCUUAUCUAAAUCAAAGUAGUUCACAUAGACGCCAAUUAACAUGACUUGAUGUUAACCGUAAAUGUCCCAUAUCAGAUGGUCUAAUUUUAUUUGUACCCUUGCUUCUAUGCAGUUGAUAAGAGCAAUUUUACUCUGGUCCAAGUAGUCCCGUUUUUAGUAAUAGAAAUUUGCCCGGAUAAACCUAGAUUAUUUGCUGAUGCAGCAGCCAGUUGGGCUCGAACUCAUUCCCUCCAAGUACAGUAAGAAGGGGCUUAAUGAUUUAUGCAAACCCAUAACUCCAGCCCAAGGUGAGUGCUCUACGCAGCAGAUGCCUUUACUUUUUACCUUCUCAGUUCUCACCCUAUAUCGUGGAUGAAAUAAAAUCUCCAGAAGUUUAUAAUUCAGGUUAAUCGAAAGGGUUUCAUCUUCACUCAAAAUCAAUCACAGAGUGUAUUUGUGAGAUUCACAUCGGCAAAGGUAAACUACAGGAAAUUGGAUCCCUCUCUAAUGUGAAAGAGAGAGUACUGCUGCUAUGACCUAUUAUGGGGAUACAUGUAUAUUAGAUUCAGAAACAAAAGAAGUGUCUUGCAUGACAAACAGAACCACAUAAGCAUAAGUUUUCAACCCUAAUUGAAUAUCAAUCUUCUACAAAAAUCAAGUAUUUAUAAGAUCACAAAAUUGUUAAGCAAAUGGCAUGAAAAUGGGUAAUACCGUAAAGAUGAAGAGUUCUCCAAUAAGGUCACCAGCAGCCUGAACUGCUUUCUCCUCGUCCAAUGGACGUAUCUCGACAUCAUUAGAAUGACCAUAGAGGCGUCUUUGCAUUCUCGUGGUGAUUCGAUGAUUUACCUGGUCCAAACAAAAGUGCACUGUAACUAACAUGUUAUAUACUCCUUGAAUCUUCUGCAGCAAUCAAUAAAACAAGAUAGUGGGACAAGCAAGCAAUGGCUGAAAGAUAGUAUAUACUUCUUUAGACAGUACAUUUAGGCUCCAACUAACACUGCUAAUUGGUGCUAGGAGUUACUGCUAGCACCAGCUUGUGGUUGACAAAGGCUGCCCUUUUGUUAAUGUUUGGGGAUUGAUCUGAAUAAGUCUCCUUUAGACCUUGUUUGGAACAAAUUGUGAACAACAAAGUUUCAUUUAAUGUGCUAAUGAAUCUUUUUUAUCUCAAGAAAAAAAAAUGUGCUAAUGAAUCUUUUGUUUGGAAAAAACUAAGAAGCCUUAAAACAUUAUACAGCAUUCAAAUGAAUCCAUAAAUUUGAGAAAGCAAAAACAAUCACUGCGCAAGUCGCUUCAAGAUUCUUCCCUCCAAAUUUUGCAAGUUAAUUUCCAAUUUUAUCGAACUUAACAGAAUUUAUAUUGCACUUGAUGUUCCUUAUGAAAUUAUUCCAAAUUCCACCAGAUCUUAUAGAAUUUGAAUUGCACUUGGUUAAUUCCAUAAGGAAUUCAUUUCUACUAAAUUCCAUAAUGUAUUAUUUAUAAUGAUCAAAUUCAUACAAUUUGAAUUCCAAAUGAAAUUAUUCUAAAUCUCAAAAUUUGAUAGGAUUUGGAUUGCACUCGCUUAAUUCCAUAGUCUAAAUAUAUAACAAAAUACAUUGAUUUACAAAUGAAUUCCACAUUUUUUGCAUGAGACUCAUUUACCUGAAACAUAAGAUAAGAGACAUUGUGUCACCAAAAAAAAAAAAAAGAAAAGAUUAGAGACAGUGGGAUUAUUAGGGCUUUUAUUUGCUAACAGCUGCUGAAUAAUAAGCCUUUUAGUUACAAGCUGUAGGAGAGUUUAUUCUAAAUCUAUACCUAGGUAUCUUCAUGGCAAAGAGCUGAGUAUAUGAUACCUCAAAACAAACCCACCAAUUUUCGUUUACUAUAAAGCAAAACUCUUUAGUCCAUGGGAAAACGAGAAAUCAAUAUCAAGCAGUAAAAAACUCAGAAUUCCCAUAUAAAACGGAGCAGCUACCAAUCGAAUUUAAACGGUCAAAUAAAACAAGUAAAACCGAAGCGGAAAUGAAUGCGUGAAUAUAACAAUGAGAUGCAGUACCUGAGCAAUGUUGACGAUAAAUUGACGAAACCUGGGGUGCAAACUAGCUUGUUGCUUGAGCCGGCUAGCCACCGGCUUGCUAAGCGUCUUCAAGAAGAGAGUUCCAAGCUUUAUUACUGGCAAUACCAUUACCGCUACUACUUCUGAGACAAGACAAAGUGGUUUGUCCGAUCUGCGCCUCCGAAAUGAAGGAAGUCUGUAAUCGCUGUGAAUGUUUGAUCGAUAAGUGCCAAAAUCUCAUUGGGAGCUUGAUGUAUAGUUCAUAAUAUUUUGACUUUUAAAUGGCGUUUGGUUUUCUUGGAGAAGACGGGAACGAGCAUGUUGCUGGGAAAAUACAGUGAGUUAAAAUAACGAAUUGACUCGCUCCGAUCUUGUUGGCGGCUAAUAACAGCUAGAGAUUAUUUAUUAUUUAUUAAUAUUUUUUUUGUUAUUUUAUUCUAGUUUUAAUUUUAUUAUAAAAUAGUUUUUGACUUUUUUUUUGAAAUUUUAUUUUUCAAACUCUUUUAAAAUUUUUUUUGUUUCCUUUAUUUAUUUUUUCUUUUUUAGUUUUUGAGAGCGUAAUAAGUAGCAUAUCACUUGAUUAACAAUUAAAUUAUUAGUAUUAAAAUUAUUAAAACUAUAUUAUAAUAUUUUAAAAAGUUUUCAACCACAAAUUAUAAAACUAAAAUUUUAAUUUUAAUAUAAUAAUAUUUUAAAUAAAUUAGUAAGAAAAAUUUUAUUUAAAAAUUUACUGUUCCUACCACCCACUCAAAUCCCCAAAACCCCGCAAAACCCCUAGCGCAGAAUUCGUUCGCACCUCGUCAAUCCAUCAAUGGGGUUCUCUUCCUCUUUCUUUCUCAUAUCUCCACUUCCCUCUCACUUCCAAAAAUUCACAUUCUUUCGUAAAAUACCCCUCGUAAGUCUCAAGAAUUCCUUCCAUGUUCUCUGUUGCUCUUCGCCGGGAAUUCCUCCAUUUACACAACAGGACAUCCUCAACUUCAUAGCCGAAUCAAGAGGGAAGACGCUCCCUUGCGUGAGGACCUACGAGAAUGACUUGGUUCGGCUCAGCCUUGUCGGAGACGUAGCCUUCGAUCAGGCCAUCACUGCUGCAGCAGCCGAUGGAGGAAAAGUCGCCGCCGAGCAUCUUGACUCGGGGGUUCCUGCAAUGGUCGUCGAGACUGUUUUCCCAGGCCUCUCCGACCCGCACGCCACUGUUUCAACUCGAUUGGUCGGUUUUCAGCUCAUUUAGUGUCUCAUCAAAGUUGGUCUCUAUCUUUCUUUUACAUGUAAAUUAGUGUCUUUUUUUUUUUGAAAUUUCUAUUUUUUCAGUUGUACCUAAUAUCUGCAAUGAAAUGAAGUUCUAUUGGCAAUGUAAAUGGAGUUGUAAUUUAGUGAAGCUGUAAACCAGUUGUAUAGCUACAAAGCUGAGUUGUAAGUUUGAAGGUUAUGUUUGGAGCAACUGAACUAUGGUUUUCAAAUGAAUGCCACCAGAAAUUUAUCUCUAAUGAAUUCAUACAUUUAGAACGAACAUGAAUUUGUAAAGUAUUUUAUGGCAUUAGAUGAUUUGUGGAAUAAAAUUUUAGGUGUAUUCCAUGGUAUAUGUUGAUGGAUUCCCUUUUUAAUUUUCUUUUUUGUCUUAGUAAUGUUAUUUCAAUCUAUUUCAAAUCAUGUUUUUUUUUUGAAAUUUCACAUUUAAAUUAACUCCCAAGCAUAGGCAAAGUUACAAAUGUGUUUUACAAUUUUUUGAAAUUCAUUAGUUCCCAAACACAUAAUUCAUCGGUGAUAUAAGCUUUUAUGCAGAUAUAUGGUUGCCUUGCUUUUUGUGGUCAAGUUUAUCUCUUUGUGUUGGUUGUUGCUUUGCCAUCUAACUGUUUCUUUCCCUGUUUUCUUGUUAGAUUUUGCUUUCAAGUUACCAUUGUUGCUGCUAUACCCCAUUUUAGUACUUCCCUAGUGAUUUAUUAAGCUGAUUAGGAUGUUUAGAUAAUUUUCACACCAUGGCUUGUGUUUUGAUUUCUUGGAAUCUUAAUUUCUUGAACAGUUCUUGCCUGCUCGGGAAGUUAAAGAAAAAGCAAAUAAGCUCAAAAAGUCUCUUUCUGAAGAUAUUUUCUCCGAAACUAUAUCCAGGAACAUACUUGCCAUGACGUUUAGACAAGUAGUUCUACAACAGCUUAGCAACUUUGAGCUGGUUUUAUUCCCUCCUGGAACAGAACGAGAUAUGGAGGAUAUUGAAAGCCCCAGAGAGGUAUGGCACUGUUGUUUUCAUAGUUAUGCUUUUUUUUAUCUUUAUGUCUGCAUCGCCUUACCACGUAAUGGUGUAUACACUUUUAAAAUCACAACACUAAUAGACCAAGAUAAUGGGCAACACUGUACACAAAAUUUUUUGAAAGAAAAGAAAUGAGAAGGGGAAGAAAGAACUUAAAGUAAAGGUGGGGGAAAGAAGAAAGAGAGAGGGAAAAGUGGGACAAAGGGAAAGGAAAAGCGUAGAAAGGACUAGAAACCAAAAUUUUAAGGAGUUAGAAACAUAAUAAUCAUCAUAAUCUCUUUUGCAUUAUGAUGAGUGUCUUAUAUAGCAAAACUAAGUGGCCGAAAGAACUAAUAGAAGUUUAUUUGAAUGAGUCAUGCAUUUGAAAUUUGGAACUCAAUAAUUGAUUGAGUCCAAAAUUUUCUUCUCUCUCUUUCUUUCUAGUGCCGCUAUGCCCAUCUUUUCACCUAAGAAGUUUAUGGUGAUUGAGAAGAAAUCAUUUGAUGUAGUUUGAGAAGAAAAUAAUGGAGAUAUUUUCAGAAUCACUUAGAAUGAGGUCGAGUUAACGCCAUCAUUUUUUUCUCUUCAACUAGGAUAUCCAAUGGUUCUUUAAGUCUUUGUGUGAAUCCUGUUGGUUAGAGGUCAUAAGUGCUGGAGAAAGGGUUUUGAAGGGAGUUGAUCUUUCCAUCUUCACCAAGCUGGGUAGGAAUAAGAGAGGUGGAUUCAUGGAUCUCAAGGAGAAGAAUGCAGGGGGGUUACUGAUGAUUGUUCAUCCCUGAAGGAACCAAAGCUAAUGGGUGAUGGAGGAUAGUUUUGUUGGUUAGUUUAAUCAAUAAUUUGGCUCUCGUUGAAGGAAGAAAGUAACAGGUCCUUGCUAGUCAGAUGGCCAGGCAAUAAAUUUACGAAGGGGUGAAGUUGAUACUCAGUUGGAGAAGGCUACAGUUGGUCUAGCGAAGAAGGAAACUAUGGUAACUAUGGCGACCAAUUGCUCUCUCAGUGGCGUAUGUUAACAUUGAGAGUGUCCUCUCCUACCUAUGUUGCAAUUGAAAAUCAGUCAUCAAUCUGUUAGUGAAGGAGAAGUUUGUUACUUUUUUGGUAUCCCAACCGCCUCUUGUACAUUUUAAUAGUGGAAGAUCUAAAAUUCAAAACAGGAUGGGAACCUUAUGUGUGUUUCUUGCAGGCUGAAGUGGGGCUGGUUCGGGCCUUGCUUACCAAGCCCCAUGACCAAAACCUCAUUUUUUGGAAAGGGCAAAUGGGUUCCUUAGGCCCGUCAGUUGGCUUCUCCCUUGCUUACCCAAGCCCCAUAGGCCCUAAAUCUGAAACUAAUAUUUUCCUAAAUAGCCUAGGUAACAUGAAAUUAUAUGGAUGUACUAAAAUCAAAUAAAUAUUAUAAAUAUUUUUUAACACUAAAAACAUUAAAUCUUGGCUUAUUCCUGUCCUGCGUCAUCAUGAUAUCAUAUUUGAAUGUCUGUCAUGCCAAUGAUAAUUGAUGCUGAAGUCAAGGAGAUUUUUUAAAAAAGAAGGCUGUGGAGGAGUGUCAUCGAGGCGAGUUGGGGUGGCUUGGAUUAAUGUGGAGAUGUAGGACAGAAAAGAAGGGUCAUGGGUUAGGUCUGUGGAAGAAAAUAUUGUUGGGCUGGCCUAGAUUUAAAGAAUGCUCUAUAUGGAAGCUGGGUAGAGGAGAUAAAAUCAGAUUUUGGCUGAAGAGUUGAUUUCCAAGGAUCUUUGCAAUAGCACAAUCAAGAAAUUUGCUGAUUGAGGAGGCGGGUCAGUAAAUGUUAAUAGUAAAUGAUUGGGAAGUCAGAGAAUAUGAAGAAUUGCUGCCUCUUAUUUCUGAAAAACAUAUCACAUCAGAGCUGGACCAAUUCCUAUGGAAGCUAAAUCAAAAGGGGGAAUUCUCUGUCAAAUCCUUCUAUACGCACAUUGUAGAAAUGUAUAUAUGUAGAAAUGUAAAUAUAAUAUGGGGUAAAUUAGUAUUUUACUAGGUUGUUAUGAUAGCUGGAAAAUGUCCACUACCAUUGCACCCCGUUAGAUUGUUAGAAUAUUUUUCAUAACCUUUUUUUUUGUUUGUUUUGGCCGAAUGCCUAUAAAUUGGCAUCUUUGUGCCCAAUAAUAAUAACAGAGGAUUCUUCUCUUCUCUCAAACUCUCAAUCUUUUUCAUGGUAUUAGAGCCAGUCUGAUCCACAUUUAUCAUCCAAAUCAAACCAAAUGGUCACGGAUGAGUAAACCUCUUUUCCACCUGAAGUUCUUUUAGGAUCCUAUCUUCCAAUGCCAGUCAACAACUCUCACGUUGAUCAGGCACCCUCGUUUGUUACUGGACAUAGGUUGAAUGGAAGCAACUAUCUCCAGUGGUCUUCCUUUGUUUUGAUGUUCAUUCGCGGAAAGGGAAGAGAUGAGUACCUGACUGGAGAGAUCAUUCCACCUCCAGCAAACGACCUGAACGCUCGUACGUGGAAAGUCGAAAAUAAUCUCGUAAUGUCAUGGCUGGUGAAUUCCAUGACAACAGAAAUUGGAGAAAAUUUUCUGCUUUAUGAGACCGCGCACGAUAUUUGUGUUGCUACUCGUGAGUUCUAUUCCAGCCGCGAUAACACUUCAGCAAUCUUCGAAAUCGAAAGCCACCUUCAUGACCUGCGACAAGGGGAGCUCUCUGUCGCUUAAUACUAUAGCGCCCUCACCCGUAAUUGGCAACAGGUCGAUGCCUUUGAAGAACAUCAAUGGAGUUGUCCCGACGAUUCUAAAAUUUUCAAAACCAUCACUGAACGAAAAAGGGUCUUCAAAUUUCUGAUGGAUCUCAACAAAAACCUUGAUGAAAUUCGUGGAUGCGUUCUGAGCACCAAACCGUUGCUGAGUCUCAGAGAAGCUUUCUUGGAAAUCCGUUGAGAAAAGAGUAGGAAGAAAAUCAUGAUGGGAGAGUUUGGCCUGAACACCAUGGAAAUGGGUUUUGCCCUUGCUGCUAAGAAGAAAUUCUCUCUAGGUGAAUCCCAGAACAGUGCUCUUGUCUCCGAGUACACCUCUGCCUUUCUGGUCGCAUUUCGGAAGCUGGAGGAAGAAAGGGGAGACCGCGAUGUGAGUUUUGCAAAAAAUCUGGUCAUACCCCCGAGAAAUGCUGGAAAUUACAUGGCAAACCAGCUGAGAAAAAGCAUUCAAGGGAUGAGGACAAUAUGUUAAUUUCCGAGGAAUUAUCCUCCGCCCUCACAUCCACAGAAACAACUCCCUUCAAUCCAGCUCAGAUGGAGACUAUCUUGCAAAUGUUUUCUCAGAAGGGCCUAUUUGGUAAUGUUUCAGUUGCUCAGAAAAGUAAUUGCUUAUUCAGUUUAUCUGCAUAUUCUGUGAAAAGGCAAAUAUGGAUUAUUGAUUCAGGGGCAUCCGACCAUAUGACUGGGGAUAUUACACUCCUUCACUAGUACAGUAAGUGUAAGGAAAUUUUCUCUAUUAAAAUUGCUGACGGAACAAGUUCUAAAGUGGCAGGAAUUGGCUCAACCUAUAUAUCACCGAAUUUGGUUCUACAUUCCGUCCUCUACGUACCAAAUUUGGACUACAAUCUACUAUCUGUAAACAAAUUAUGUAAAGACUUAAACUGUGUAGUUAAAUUUGACAAAAGAAUACGUGUGUUUCAAGACUUGGACUCGGGGAAGAUGAUUGACAGUGUUAAGAAGGAAUCAGAACUUUAUUUUCUACCAAUCACAACAUCAUCUCCAAAUGGACAAACUACAAGUGUAGUAUGUGUUAAUUCUGUAUCUGUAGGAUGUUCUAGUAUUGAACACUCUAUUAUAUUAUGAUACUAUAGAUUAGGACAUCCAAACUUUAUGUAUUUGAAACAAUUAUUUCCUGCUUUAUUCAGAAAUAAAAAUUUAAGUUCAUUUCAAUGUGAAGUGUGUCAGUUUUUUAAACAUAUUCGCAAUUCAUAUCCAAUUAUUACUUAUAAAACUUCAAAACCCUUUGCAUUGAUCCAUAGUGAUGUAUGGGGAUCGUCUUAGGUGAAAAACAUUAUUGGUACAAAAUGAUUUUCUCCUUCAUUGAUGAUCACACUAGAAUAAUCUGGGUCUAUCUAAUGAAAGAAAAAUUUAAAAUUAGUUAAAUCUUUAAAAAAUUCAACAUUAUGAUUCAAACUCAAUUUCAAAUAAAAUACAAGUGUUAAAAACUGACAAUGCUUAUGAAUACUUUACAUCCAACCCCUCAAUAAAACGGUGUAGCAGAAAAAAAAAAAAUACAUAUACUUGAAGUGUCUCGUUCACUCAUGUUUACUACAAAUGUUUCUAAAUUUCUUCGGGAACUGGCUAUUCUCAUUGGUACAUAACUGAUCAAUAGGAUGCCCUCCCGUAUUCUUAAAUUCAAAACACUUUAUGACUCCCUUGUUCAAGCAUUUCCAGAGUCUCAAAUUCUUCACACAAUUCCCUUUAAAAUUUUUGGCUGCUCUCCUUAUGUUAACAUUCACACUCAUUAUAGAGGGAAACUAGAUCCUAGAGCCCUUGAGUGUAUCUUUGUCAGGUAUUCCUUCUCUCAGAAAGGUUACAAAUGUUUUUGUCUAGUCACCCACCGGUUCUAUAACACUAUGGAUAUCACUUUUUUUAAGAACAAACUUUUUUAUCCCACUCUCAAUAUUCAGGAGGAGACAUCUGGUACUCAGGAAUAUCAAUUGUGGGAUGUGAACAUAUCUCUAUUACAUGUUCUAUUAACAACAUUAGAAAAAGAAUCCGUCUCUCAAACUACCAAAAAACCUGAACCUGAACCCAUCACAGAGACUGAUAACGCAUUACUUGCAGUAAGUAAGUUGUGUGUCUAUAACAGGAGGAACAAAACUCAAAGUAAAGAUAAAGUACCUGAGUCAACUAUGUACUGUCAUGAUUCAACUCCUGGACUAAACACUCAGAAUAACACAAGUAAUGAGAUCUCUGACUCAAUUGAUGAUAUUGGUUUACCUAUUGCAUUACGAAAAAGUGUUCGCUCUUGUACAAUGCAUCCCAUACAGGAUUAUGUCUCAUAUGGCAAACUAUUUUCAAAAUAUCAUGCUUUUAUGAGUAAGUUUGACAGUAUCCCAUCAGAACUGAGAACGGUUCAUGAAACUCUCAAAAUUCCUGAGUGGAAUGUUACUAUCCAAGAAGAAAUUCAGCUCUUGAGAAAAACGGAACAUGGGAGUUAUUUGAUCUACCUUCAGGAAAAACUCUAGUAGGAUACAAGUGGAUCUUCACUACUAAAUACAAUCCUGAUGGUAGUGUGAAUUGCUACAAAGCACAACUUGUUGCUAAAGAGUUCACCCAGUCAUAUGGAAUUGAUUAUCAAGAGACGUUUGCUCUUGUUGCUAAGCAUAACACAAUUCAAGUACUGUUCUCUUUAGCUUCUAAUCUUGAUUGGCCUUUUUUCCAGCUUGAUGUGAAGAAUGCUUUCCUUAAUGGUGAUCUAGAACAAGAAGUAUAUAUGGAAGUCCUACCUAGACUCGAGAUAAAUCCACAAAAAGUGUGCAAAUUAAAAAAGACACUGUAUGGUCUUAAAUAGUCACCGAGGGCAUGGUUUGACAGAUUCACCAGAGCAGUGAAGCAUAUGGGAUAUGAACAGUGUCAAUCUGAUCACACUCUAUUCAUCAAGCACUGUAUCACAGGAAAGAGAGCAGUACUAAUCGUUUAUAUCGAUGACAUUAUACUGACAGGUGAUCAUAAUGAAGAAAUCUAGAAAUUGAAAGACUUUCUAGCCAAAGAAUUUGAAAUCAAAGACCUUGAAAUACUUAAGUAUUUUCUUGUAAUAGAAAUCGCUCGAUCCAAGAAGGAAAUUUCUAUAUCUCAGCAGAAAUACAUCUUAGAUCUUCUGAAUGAGACAUGUAUGUUUGGUUGUAAACCUACAGAGACUCCUAUAGAAUCAAAUGCUAAGCUUGGCUCCAAAAAUAAUAGCAAAUAUGUUGAUAAAGAGAUGUAUCAGCGACAUGUUGGAAAACUCAUAUACUUGGCUCCCAUGAGACCUGACAUUUGUUUUGCAGUAAGCACUGUGAGUCAGUUCAUAUCUCAACCUACUGCGGAGCAUAUGAGUGCUGUCUAUCGCAUCUUGAGGUACCUAAAGAUGAUACCUGGAUAAAGAUUAUUUUUUCAGAAGAUUAUGGUCAGAGAUAUUGAAAUCUACACUGAUGCUGAUUGGGCUGGUUCAGUAACUGAUAGGAAAUCUACAUCUAGUUACUGUUCUUAUGUAUGAGGCAAUUUAGUCACUUGACGAACUAAGAAACAAAUUGUUGUGUCAAGAAGCAGUGCUGAAGUUGAAUUACGAUCUCUUGCCCAUGGAAUAUGUGAAGGAGUAUGACUGAAAAAGAUCUUAUUUAAAUUAAGGUUUUCGGCUCCCAUUACUAUGAGGAUUUGGUGUGACAAUCUAUCAACUAUAAGUAUAGCCAAGAAUCCUGUGUACAACAACAAAACUAAACAUAUGAAAAUUGAUCAACACUUCAUCAGGGAAAAAAUUGAAAGCAAGGACAUAUCACUACAAUACAUCCUAAUAAGUUAGCAAACUGCAGACAUUCUCACAAAAGUACUACCAAAAAGAGAAUUUAAUAAUCUUGUAUCCAAUUUAAAAUUACUUAAUAUUUAUGUAUCCUACAUUGAGAGAGAGUGUAGAAAUGUAUAUAUGUAUAAAUAUAAAUACAUUAGGGAGUAAAUUAGUAUUUUACUAGAUUGUUAUGAUAGCUGGGAAAUGCCCAUUACCGUUGCACCCUGUUAGGCUGUUACAAUAUUUUUCAUAACCUUUUUUUUGUUUGUUAUGGCCGAAUGCCUAUAAAUUGACAUCUUUUUGUCCAAUAAUAAUAACAGAGGAUUCUCAUCUUCUCCCGAACUCUCAAUAUUCUUCACACAUUGUGAGGGAGGAUCAUGCUAAUGCAUAUAAGUUCCCAUUUAUCCAGAUCUGGAAAUUGAAGGUACCACUCAGAAUUGCUUUUUUUUUUUUGUUUGUUUGGGAGGCUAGUAGAGAAAACAUUUUGACUAUUGAUAAACUGGUAGCUAGAGGUCAUAUCUUGGCUAAUAGGUGUUAUUUGUGUAAGCAAGCGGUGGAAUCAUGCAAUCAUAUUCUGCUUUGGUGCCCUGUUGUCUAUGACUUGUGGUGCAUGAUUUAUGAUCUUAUAGGAGUCAACUCGGUGAUGACGGGAACUGUAAAAGAGGAGAUUUGGGCUUGGGGAGGCUAGGUGCAAAGAAAGACAUUGAAAUUGUAAAAUUAAUCCUAUUGACCAUUUUCUGGAUCAUAUGGAAAGUAAAGGAAUUUAAGAGCUUUUGAUGGUAAAGAGGUUGGAGCUAUAGGUUGAGAGAUAGAUGGUAUAAUUAUUUUGGAUCUUUUUCUUGGGGUAUGACAUUAUUAGGGAUGAGAAUUUUGAGAAUGUCCUUGACAUCCUAACACACUUGUAAAUCUUUGAAUAUGGGUGGUACCCUCUUGAUGUAGUGUUAAUACAUAUCUCACAAUUUCUAUUUAAAAAAAUAAUGAUAAUUGAUGCUGAUAGGUUCAGUUCUCUAUGCAUUUUGUAUAAGCAGGUUCCUGCAUCUUUCACCCUUAGCUCAUCGAGUGAAGAGGUUAUCUCUUUGAUUGCAGAAGUUGUAUGCAUCUCUGCUCUUCAAAGCACUGAAAGGCAUUUCCUUGAUAAUUCUUUGGGAAGAACUUCGAGUAAUUUCUUUCAGUGGUUUAAAAAGCAUAGAAGGAUUGUAUCUAAAGAUUCCUCAAUUUUCAUUUAUCAGUUAUUUGAAGAUGAGAUAAUUGGAAAUGGCAAGAGUCUGCUUGAAAAUUUUAACUCCUUGAAAGGAACCUUUAGGCCUAAAGUAAAGCCAAAGAGCCAUUGGUGGAAGCCAUCCGCAUAUUUUCAAUUGGAAAGCAUUGGUGGUUCUGAGUUUGCUAGCUGGCUAAUUGAGUAUAUACCUGCUUAUCGACUAGAAAUUGACACCAACAGACUCAAGAAUGUAAAAUUUGAAGGCUGGAGAAAGUCUGCUGAGAAUUUGUGGGAAGUUCUUCUGACUCAUUCCCAAAUGGUAUUUUGUUCUCUUCCUUUCUUCAUUGGAGCUUUUUCUUUCAUAGUGGUAACUUGUUUUUUGCAUAUGAAGAAUCCAUUCAUUAUUAAUUGUCCAUGUAAAAUGAGAGUUUGCUGGUUUAAAUGUUUUUGCAAUUGACUGUUAUGCCCAUGACAAGUUUUGUUUUGUUCUGGCCUAUUUUCUGUAUAUGUGUGUGUAUAUAUAUAUAUAUUUGUUGCAUUGAGUGAGAAAAAAUGAAAACUUAUGAGGAGUUUUCAGCACUGUGUCUUUGUUGCUAAUUAAUUAAAUGGAAUACAUGGUUUAUCUGAUAUUACUUCAGGUUGUAAAUUUGUAGGUCAGACUGGUUGAUGCAUUGGAUAUGUACUUCGAAGAUAUUUACUCAAUCCCCACUAAAGAGCUACCAUGUGAAGUGGCUGCAAACUAUGUCAAUUUGUCCACCAUGAAGGUACUCUUGGUGCAUGUGGAUUACCUUUUUUUUUUUGGCCAAACCAUUUGACAACUUGUUUAUUGGAAGGUUAUCUUGCCCCUUCUUUAAUGGAUACAUUUUUUAGUUAAAAUAAGUCAAUAACUAGGCACCAGAGGGUGCUAGCCAUAUACAGGAGAAUGGGGAAAUUAACAAAUCAAACUACCGCCUCAGUCGCUCACUUUGAAUCCCAAAUAUAUUAUGAUUAUUUGCUUCUAACCUGUCUACGUUGAAUCUUUCACAAGUUGCAGAGCAUUAUGCAGAACCAGGCUGAUUUUAAGGCUUGUUAGGAGUUGAUUAUUCAUUCCUCGAUUUAGGAGAUCGUGCUUUUUAGGAAACUUGAGUUUAUUAAUUAUAUAAGAACUUUGAAACCUUGGAUUUGUUUUCCUAUUAGUUUUUUCCCUUUUUACCUAAAGGUUAGAAAAGGUCUCUAAUCGACAAUUUAUAUUUGACUUGGAUUGAUAAAUUUCUAGUGAAAUUAUUUUACAUUUCUAUCUAGUUACUACUUUUUCCUCCCUCAUUUUUCUUCAUCCCUGUCUAUGUUCCCUUUUCUCCCUGAAAAUUCUUCAUCCUUAUUUCUCUGCCCCAUAUUUUUUCCUAUUUCUCUAUGUUGUAGAAUAAUUAUGGUUAUACCAUUUAGUUGUUUUACAUCACACUGCUUUCUAUAUUUGAUGUCUUCAUGCGGAUGUCGAGGAUCUUGGUCAAAUCUAAACUGACAGCUCUCUUUGUUAAUUUAGUCUUUAAAUGUGUUCAUCAACUAUAAAUUGAUUGGUUUCAUUUGUCACAGAAGGGCUCCUCUUUGUUGAAAAUCCUGUAUGCCACCAUAGCAAGUGGAAUUAUUCUAUUGGCAAUUUGUUCUCUUGGUCAAUUUAGUUUGCGUUAUCAGUCCAAGGGAAAUAAGUCCCUUAGAGAAAGCUGUUCUCUUACAUCAUCAGAGAUCAAGUCUGAGACUCAUCAAUCUUCAGGAACUGCAGAGGUACAAAUGCAUUUUAUCUGGGUAGUUCUAUAUAUCAGUAUGUUAAAUUAGAUGAAGUAUGGAAUGGAAUGGGAAUUAGACUAACCAUACCUAAAAGCUAAUAUUAGUCAUUGACAUUUUAUCUGGUGGUUGUUUAGAAAAUUAGUUAUCUUUUUCCUGUCAUAGGCGUGAAAUGAAAAAAAAAAAUAUGUAUAUAUAUUUAUCUCAGUAAGGUGUUUGCAUGGACUGCAGUUCUGAAUUGGUUAAACACUAAUGAGUUGGUGCAAGCUCGUAGGCCCGAUCCAGCUUUGUCUCCAUAUAUAUGUGUGUGAUAUGCUGUAAAAGAGGAGAAACAUAUAACCAUAUUUUCCUUCAAGAUGAGGUGGUGUGGAGGUUAUGGUCUGGCCCAUUUAACCUUUCUUGGAUAACACUUCCAUCAUUGAAAUGUUUUAUAUACUUCAGCAUCGGACCAAUUCGGAUGAAGAAGAAAGCAUGACUAUUAUGGCGAGGAGCAUUGUUCUCAGGCUUAUGGACUAUUUGGUUGGAAAAAAAUCAUUGGAUUUUUUAUAAUCAAUUUUUUCCGGUUUAUAUGUUGGAGGAGAAAACAGCUUUUUUGGCUUUCCCAUGGGCCAAGGCACAUGGACAAGUUUCUGAAAUUUCUCUUACGAUAUAGAAAUCGGGAAGCAAUAAUCAUGUGAUUACCCAUGGUUCAUCUUUGUCCUAGGUGCUGUUUUCUUUGUUCGAUGUUUAUUCAGCAUCUUUCUCAGUUAGAUAUCCAAAUAAAGUUUUUUCAUCGUUAACUUCUCGUUCUUAAUAUAUAUAUAUUUUUUCUGUUAAAAAAAUCACGGAUGCUGUAGUAUCAUUUGGGUUGUGCUAGGGUGAAUGUUAUCAACAUAUGCUAGUCUCUAUAUAUCAAUGUAAAUCUAGAUCUAUAAUCUUUUACAUUGGCUGAUUAUUAAGUUUCUUCUUUUAAUUGGUUGAGCCAGGUGGUUUGUCAACCGAAGGUAAAUUAAUUGGUAUACAACUCAAGAACUCAGAGUAUGAAUCAUGUUUCUGAUAAUCUCUUAACAAGAACUGUCUGAUGGGCGAAAACUUUCUCUUGGUAAGAAUUAACUGAUUUUAGGAUCUAUCAGAAUUGUUUAACAAUCGAGAUCGUUAUCUGAUAUUCAAAUUGAUGGUUUUACUUGCUGGUGUUGCCUCUAGCAGGUUUUAUCGAAGCUGGAAACAUCGAUGACCAUUCAGAUUCUCCUUUUAUAUUCGUUUAAGCCAAAUUGAUGAUCACUGUCAAGGAGCUAAGCAACUAGUAAGACAUGAUUCAUUGCGCGACUUGUUACUUGUAUUCGUACACAAAAUUCAUUGCUGCCGAGGUACAUUAUUGACUAAUUUUUUAUAUUAUGUACCUUUUUAAUGAUAAUAUAAUUUUUUUAAUCAUCAUUUUCAUAUAGUAAAAUGUUUAUUUUAUAAUCAUCCAAUAAUUUUAUAUAUAUAUUUUUUAUUUUUUUAAUUAUUUAAAUUCAUAAUAUUGUUUCUCAUUUUUUAAAACAUAAUUUAAAAUUUUUUAUUUCUUACCACAACACCAUGCCUAUUUGUCUUGAGAUUAUGUGAAAACACAACAUCCCUUAUUGUAUAAUUUAUAUAACUUUUAUCAAGAUAUAAUAUUUAUCAAAAAAAUUUUUUUAAUUGUCUACAAUAUUAAUAUAAAAAUUUUAAAAUAUUUUAAUUUAAAAUUUAAUACAAAGGACAAUAUAUUUUAACUAAUAAAUUAUAUUAUGAAUCAUGCAAUUCGAUUCAAUUUAUUAUAGUUUAUUCAAAAGUUUAGAAUUCAUAUCAUAGUUCCAAGUUUAAUUCCACAACUAUGACAAUGUUUUUCUGAGUUCAAAUUUAAAGCCAACCAAUUAAACAUAAGUUGUAAUGGAUUAAUUACAUUAAUAUAUUGUCUAAAAUACAUUAAUUAUGUUAUCAGAAGGAAUAAAGUGAAUUAUAUAAAAAAAAAAACAAUAAAUUUUAAGAAGAAGUGACAAAAUAAUGUCAUUUUUAUUUUUAGAAAUUGUUAUUUUUAAUAAUUAAAAUUAUAUAUAACAUUUAAUUACAAUAAAAUUAUAAUUGUUUUUAGUACGAUUGAAGAGAGUCUGCCACGUUCGCCCAUUUCAACAGGUGGCGCUGCGGACGGUGACCUAAAAACCUCUCUGAAGCUGGCGGGCGGGGGGGUUUCUCAUGGCACUUCUGUAAAACCCAAAUCAUCAUCACCAUGGGAGCUGCCGACAACCAAAACCCUAGCAACACUCCUCAGAACACCCCUUCUUCUUCUUCUUCUUUGUCGUCGACGAAUCACCUAUCCUCAAAAGCUAAUUCCUCCUCCCAAAAGAUCCACUACCCUAACCCUCCCGAUCCUUCUAAUCCAGACCCUGCCACACUCAGAGAUCAAUGGCGCUACGCCACCAGACAAUACAGUAAAUGGUAUUCUCACGCCUGGGGGACUGCGAUUCUCGCUGGUCUUUCUUUCUUCGCUCUUGGUUGGAUUAUCAAGGGCUCCAAUCCCCUCCCUUCUCUCUCCCGCGAUUCUCCGUCAUCAUCCUCUUCAUCAUCUUCAUCUGAUGAGAAUAAGUGAUAAUUUCCACGGAUGUUGACACCGGGUAAGUUUGAUUUCUCUUUUAGGCUCUUAAUUUGAGCUUCUCAGUUUAUGGAUAUCUGUCGUCUUGUUCCGUGUUUUUUAGGAGAUCUGAUUUAUUUUAGACUGGCAUUUAAGGUAUGGUUUUUUCUUCCAAAUUGAUCCAUUUUUGAGUUUUGAGUCAUUAUCGGCUAGUAGUUUAAUAUGAUAGUGAUACAUGUUUUAUAUAUUGAUACAUAUAUACAUAUAUUAUACUUGUCUUCUGGUUGGUGGAUUGAAUCAAAAUGGAGCUAAUUGGGUUGCAGAUACAAAAGAGGAGCCGCACAAUUGAAAUUCCUUACUGAAUCAGAAAGACAAAGGGUGUUAUUGUUUGUUUUUGAAAGAUGAAGCUAUAGUUGAUGUCAAAGCAAAAAUUCCUUCUUUUUUUUGGGAUAAAGAUGUUAAAGCAAAAGUUGUGACUUGAGAAUCUGGUUAAAUGCAAAUUUAGUGAUUGAGAUUAUGUAUUCUUGAAGUUUAUGCUGAUUUUAACUCAAUUAUGAUGGGGAAAAAAGAAUUUAAGAUAAAAUUCACAUUGGCAUUUUCAGUACAAAUUUAUAGUAAAUGGAAUUAUUUAUUGAAGAAAUUUAUGCUGAUUUUCCAAUUAAUUUAUUAAGUCAAUUUUGAUGGGUUGAAAAAGAAUUUAAGAUAAGUUUACCUCUUAUCAGAUAUUCUUGGAGAUGGAGAUUUUUGUCAGUCAAAUUUUCGAAUUUCCUGAACAUUGAUGAAUCAAAACUGGAGCCACAAGGAAACUCAAAUGGACAAUCUAUAAACCCAAAUGAAGAAUCUGUGUAUUAUGAAGAGAGGUUGUAUUCACAGGGAUAUGUCUAUGGCCUACCAAUACAGUAACCAAGCAUGGCAUAACAACGGUAGCAGCAUUGUAUUUGUUGAAAAAAUGGGUUAAACAGAGCAAGAAAUUUCACUUUGAUGUAUGGCUAAAUUGCUUUUCAAAAUCCUGAAAUCUUGGUGGUAGUAGGAGGCAAAUUUUGUAUAGAGCCAAAAUUAUGCUGUUGACCCAGUUAAUACAAGGGCUAGAGAUCCAUCUCUGUGUUUAUACAAACAGAGUUUAGAAUUUCAAAUGUAAGAUUCCUUUAAGAUUCAAGCAGAGCAACAUCCCACUUCGUUAACAGUCAAUGCAUCGUCUUUUGUUCCAACAUUGAUUGUCUGACCUUUGGGUAAAGCUGCAGGGUCGUCGCCAAUGUCUAGUGCCUUUCUGCUUACUACACGAAAUAUCUGGGUGAGUACUUGAGUGAAAGCAUUAUCCACAUUCGUAGACUCGAGAGCUGAUGUUUCCAUGAAGAAAAUGUUCUCUCUUUCUGCAAAAGACGUUGCAUCUUCCAUGGAAACUGCUCGCAGGUGUCUCAGAUCAGCCUUGUUUCCAACGAGCAUAAUGACAAUAUUUGCAUCUGUGUGAUCUCGGAGCUCCUUGAGCCAUCGUUCCACAUUUUCAAAUGUAAUAUGGCGGGUGACAUCGUAAACUAGUAAAGCACCAACAGCUCCUCGAUAGUAUGCACUUGUAAUGGCA